rnacentral:rRNA from 1 species
AACGAACGCUGGCGGCAGGCUUAACACAUGCAAGUCGAACGCAUCCUUCGGGGUGAGUGGCAGACGGGUGAGUAACGCGUGGGAACGUGCCCUUCAGUUCGGGAUAACCCAGGGAAACUUGGGCUAAUACCGGAUACGUGCGAGAGCAGAAAGAUUUAUCGCUGAAGGAUCGGCCCGAGUCUGAUUAGCUAGUUGGUGAGGUAAUGGCCCACCAAGGCGACGAGCAGUAGCUGGUCUGAGAGGAUGAUCAGCAACAUUGGGACUGAGACACGGACCAAACUCCUACGGGAGGCAGCAGUGGGGAAUAUUGGACAAUGGGCGCAAGCCUGAUCCAGCCAUGCCGCGUGAGUGAUGAAGGCCUUAGGGUUGUAAAGCUCUUUCGUCCGGGACGAUAAUGACGGUACCGGAAGAAGAAGCCCCGGCUAACUUCGUGCCAGCAGCCGCGGUAA